CAUGGCUUCACAGAGCGCCCCAAGCCAGCGCCCGCCGUGGUCCGUCAGAAUGCUGGAAAGACAGCCAAAAGCCAGCGCCAUUCAGCCUGGAGGACAUGAAAUAUGCACAGCAAUUGUGUCGCUGAGGGCCAAACGUCACAAAGGGCAUCCUUCUCUGCCCUGGAGUUGUCUGUCAUGAAUGCUACCGGAGCCUGCAGCAUGAUGGGUGCUUGUCCUUCAGCAGCUGAAAAGCAGCACGGUACCCCUCCGUUGUUUGGGAACUGUGAACAAGCACAGCUACAGCCACUGCCCCUGCUUUCGUGGCCGUGAGCAGCACAGUUGCCGUGCUACCGUCUGCAUCGCAUGACGAUGUUGAGUCCACGAAUACAAUGUUCUGUGACGACUCCAGGCUCUGGGCGCGCCGCAUAAUGGGCGUCACAAUGAGCACCGCCCAACAGUCAUUGGACGUGCUCGUUGAGCAGACAUUAGUGCCUGCGUAUUCAUAGUAAAAAGUGUCAGCUUUUCUACAUGAAUAGUUUCGUUGCUAUUGGUAAAAACUUCAGCAUGUGUGGUACAUGUGAAACAAUUCGAGCUAUCAAGCUAUGAAAUAUGCGUUGUCGUUCUAAUGACGAGGACCACGUUACUCUGGCUUAAGGAAUUAAGUUUUCUUUUUAUAUAAAACUACCAAAAUGUGCAUGGAGCAUUCCUUAACAAUAACAGCAGCAUCCACUACGCAGUUUCCUAUGGCCUUUGAUGAUAAUGCAUAGGUCACACCGGCUACUACAGAAGUGGCAAUUUGUACCUGGAUUGCUAGAAAUAGACAUCUUGCAAACAUGCACACGUGCUCGCCCAAGGAGUAAGUUAAACCAUCACAGGGGUUGGAAUAACAUAACACUAUUCCAAUUUGUUUUCAUUUGAGCUUCACCAUUAGUCCUCCUUAAUAGGUGAAAUUAGCUCAAACCCCACUAGACGGGCGCGGUCGCUGCCCAUAUAAGCAGUGACCGAGCCAUUUUGACCUAUCAUGGGGGGCUAAUGGUAAAUUUGGAAUAAAAACAGAUUGUAAUAGCUUUACAUUAUCGCGGCCUUGGUUUGCCCAAUGUAAAAGUAUUAGCAAGAAUUUUAUCCACAGUGCUUCGUGACUUUGGACUUUUGGUGCUACUCUGCAUUUGUUUGCAAUCAUUUUUUUUUGAGCAUUGCUUUUGAUACUGAAGCCAUUGUAAAGUGCUUUGGUCAUUUUACAGCAAAUACAACCUGCAUGCCUGUCCUGUCUGUCACCAUCUUAUGAUGUCAAGGGAAUGCUAUACCUUCCUUGUUAACAAGCUAGCAAGUUAUAUCAGAACUAUCACCGCAUAGCUUUUUGCCAAGUUAUUCAUACAGAAACCACAAGCGUGUGUCACCAAAUUUUUGUCUUUUUGAAGAAAACUGCUUUGUAUUUGGUGCUAGUAGGCUCUGGAAAGAGUAUAGUUUUUUUUACUAGUCUCUGCUAGAACCAAGCUCCAUCUUUUUUUCUCUGAAAUGACCUUAUCCCUCUCUGAAGGAUGAAGGUGGCAUCAAAAUGGGGCAAAUGCCCCAAGCUCCGAGAUGUGCAUGCAUAUUUCUACAAGGGGCAUGUACAGGGUCGCUAAUUCACCAGUUGUCCCUUGAAGUUGCAGUUAACAGCACUUGGCCAUAGUGAGAAAUUUCAUCACUUUUACAUAGAGCACUUGGUGCUGAAAGAAUCUGGAUAGAACACUUCUAAGCUUGAUGCAGUUUGUCGGAACAGGCGAGAACCCCACAGACACCUGACCUGGCAAAAGGUUGCUUGGUGAAAGAAGUCACUGAGAUGUUUAAAUGGGCCCUGAAACACUUUCCUAACUAAUAGAAUGACCUCACUAUGAAGGGCAUUGCCUCAUGAAUCUCAUGCUGCAAAAAUUUUUCAAAUCCUUCAACUAUAAGUGCAGUUAUCGCGCCGAUACCCGGCAUUCGCUCUCUUAAUCUCACCGAGCACGCUGGAAGCUACACAGUGGAGCUGGCCAAAAGUUGAGUGUCGUGGUACCUGGCAGUACCUGGCAGCACCUUGUGGCAGCCGCGGUAGAACACGCUACGCAGCAUGCCACUGCCAUCUUGGCGGCCAUGUGCAGACGCAAUGAAAUGAUUUUUCUGUCUUUUUUAGAUCGCAGACAUGUGUAUUUCUAAUUUUUUUAACUCAACAUUAGCAGUUAUAUGUUGCUGAGAAUGCUCUCGCGAUCACAAAAUCAGACAAUAGUGUUGGCGGGCCAUCUGCUUUAUGAUGACACUUUAUGGUGACGCAGCAUGGUGGCAUUGCCGAAGUGAGAGCAAGCAAUUUUUCGCUGUUUUUGACACGGGAUUGUAAAUUUCGUGCUGCAUAUGUGCAGUAAUAUUUGACUCGCAUGUUCACAGCAGCCUCUACGACAAAUCUGCAAGAUUUUUUUCCUAUGUUAAAGAAGUGUCUCAGGGCCCCCUUUAAGCCAACUAAAUAAAAAUACUGCAGUAUGUGCUCAUGGCAUCUAUCAUCAACCGAAGAAAGUAGGGGACAGAAGCCAGUAGUGCUGGUAGUAUUCUCAGUGCCCAGUAAGCAUAGUCAUCUGUGCAUAGAGGUCAGUAGUGAUGCCUUCAUUUUACAAAUUUCUUCUGUGUAUUCCUACAUAGCAUGUCGGAGAUAGCAGAUGUUAUUGUGGGAGCAUGCACUUAACGUGAGACCGUUGACUGAACCUGGUUCAACUGUGUAUCGUUUCAACUGAGAUUACCGCCUUGACUUUAGAAUGUGCAAUUUUGCGAGAAUACAAUGUCAUCUUGAACUGGAAGUAUAAUUGACACUUGACAAGUUUUACUCAAUGCUCCUGCACUAGGCAUAAUUGCACUUGGGGUCCAGUAGCUGUGUUUUAGGGCCAUUGCCCUACCAUGCCUGAACUAUAGUAGUGUUUCCAGGGAUAUUGAGCGUUUGCGUAAAGGAUAUGCAGCAGAGCGACGUCUUGGAAGUGAUUCCUCGCUUUAAAGUCACUGAGAAGCAAUAUUACAUUGCAGUGAAUGCAUAUGUCAAGGACAGGAGCUAACAUGCACAUCCAGAAAUCGAGGUUUUUGCUGAUUUUGAGGGAGCAGCUAAUUCUACCGGGCUACAUAUGCUGUUGCCUAAGAUAACCUAUGCGUGGAAAAUAUUGUGCCUACAAUGCAAUGUUUUGGACAUUUCCAUGUUCCGGUUCUCUGAAAACUAUGAACUUUAUUGUAUUUUGUUGACAUGUUUCACCUUUAUGUGUGUUGUUUCUUUGCAGUAAUAAAAAUGAGAUUUGUUACAGAGAUCCUCUGCUGCCUUUUUCUCUUGGCUUUUCCUGUUAUCUCUGCUGCUUCUCAGCUUCAUUGUGAACCAUGUCUUCUAACAUCAAAUAUU